rfam:Canis lupus familiaris chromosome 5, whole genome shotgun sequence.
AGGAGGAACAGCCCCAGUGGCGGGGCCAGCUCUGGAGCCCUGGAGUCAGCCCCCGCAGGAACUCCGGAGCUCUCGGUCUGCAGGGCCUGGUGGCUCCGGGGCGGG